AUGCUGAGAUUUUGGGUUCUGUGUCUGUGUGUGAGUGUUCUCAGUGUAGGCGUUCUAACUCUGAUCCCCCAAAAACACGAGAUAGAAAAUGAGGUACAACACGAUGUGGAACAUGUGCAUGGAACAUGGACCAUGGAACAUGAAGCGAGGGAACCCGAUAAAAUCUAUGCAGAGACUCUAGCAACCCACCAACCUGCCACAUACACUCCUAUUAUGGACACACAUGCCACAGUCCCAACUCUGACAGACAUACCUCUUACAGAAACAACUGUGAUAGGUACAGCUAUUACGGAGUCAGACGUACCUGUGGUCGCCACAUGUCUUUCAUCAGCCCUACCCCUCACCUCAUUACCGAAUGAUGAAGAAGGCAGGGAUCAGGAAAAAGGCAGAGAGGACAAGAAUCCAAGAAUUGAAGAGGAGGAGGAGAAGGGGAGAGUGAGGGAUGAGCAGAUGAGAAAGGACAGAGAGAUGGAGGCGAGCAGAGGGAGGAGAGGAGUGACGGGAAGGAGACAUGCAGCAACUGUAGAGGCCACUGCGUACAGAAUGGCAGGUCUGGGGCGCCCCCUACCUGGCUGGAAGAAGCGAGGUACAAAUGGGGGAGCUGAACAGGAAGGUGUUCUCAGGACCAUACUAAAGGAACUACACAGUGAUAAGGACAGACUAAUGGACACAGAGAAGGCAGAGGAAGAGGAAGAUGAGGAGGAAGAUGAAGAUGAAGACGAUGAAGAGGAAGAUGAUUCUGAAGAGGAGGAAGAGGAGGAGGUGCGGGAUCGUAAUGAACAGGAUCCUUUCAUCAGGCAAAGCAUGAUGAUAACAAUAAUGAUGAUGAUGAUUAUGUUGAUGAUUUUUAUUUGUAUUUCUAGGAGGAAGAGGAAGAGGAGGAGGAAGAAGAGGGGACAGAGUCUCCCACCAAUCAGACAGUAGCAAGGACCAGCUUCACAGAGUCUCUCCCAGGGACGUGUCAAACGUCUAACGGACAAAUAAGCUGCAGGGGUAAUGGCAUGAAUCACCUCCCAAUCAUCACCGACCUUGGGGUCACGACCCUGGACCUGGCAGGUGAGGGGGUGGGCGGGAGUAAUAUGAAAUGAGUGUUGUAAAAGUUAAUAUGUACUGUAUAAAAUCAUGUAUUGUGUAUCUAUGACAUUAGUGAGUAUGUACAGUGGGUCAAAAAAGUAUUUAGUCAGCCACCAAUUGUGCAAGUUCUCCCACUUAAAAAUAUGAGAGAGGCCUAUAAUUUUCAUCAUAUGUACACUUCAACUAUGACAGACAAAAUGAGAAAUCCAGUAAAUCACAUUGUAGGAUUUAUAAUGAAUUUAUUUGCAAAUUAUAGUGGGAAAUAACUAUAAAACUAUAGUUUUGGCAAGUCGGUUAGGACAUCUACUUUGUGCAUGACGCAAGUCAUUGUUCCAACAAUUAUUAACAGACAGAUUUUUUAUUUUUUUCAUUUUAAUUUCACCUUUAUUUAACCAGGUAGGCUAGUUGAGAACAAGUUCUCAAUUACAACUGCGAUCUGGCCAAGAUAAAGCAAAGCAGUGCGACACAAACAACACAGAGUAACAGAUGGAAUAAACAAACAUACAGUCAAUAAUACAAUAGAAAAAUCUAUAUACAGUGUGUGCAAAUGUAGUAAGAUUAGGGAGGUAAGGCAAUAAAUUAGCCAUAGUGGCGAAAUAAUUACAAUUGAGCAAUUAGCAACAGUGAUAGAUGUGCAAGUAGAGAUACUGGGGUGCAAAGGAGCAAAAAAAUAAAUAACAUGGGAAUGAGUUAGUUGGGUGGGCUAUUUACAGAUGGGCUGUGUACAGUUGCAAUGAUCGGUAAGCUGCUCUGGCAGCUGAUGCUUAAAGUUAGUGAGGGAGAUAUAAGACUCCAGCUUCAGUGAUUUUUGCAAUUUGUUCCAGUCAUUGGCAGCAGAAAACUGAAGGAAAGGCGGCCAAAGGAGGAAUUGGCUAUGGGGAUGACCAGUGAAAUUAUCUGCUGGAGGGCGUGCUACGGGUGGGUGCUGCGAUGGUGACCAGUGAGUUGAGAUAAGGCGGGGCUUUACCUAGCAAAAACGUAUAGAUGACCUGGAGCCAGUGGGUUUGGCGACGAAUAUGAAGUGAGGGCCAGCCAACGAGAGCAUACUGGUCGCUGUGGUGGGUAGUAUAUGGGGCUUUGGUGACAAAACGGAUGGAACUGUGUUAGACUGCAUCCAAUUUGCUGAGUAGAGUGUUGGAGGCUAUUUUGUAAAUGACAUCGCCGAAGUCAAGGAUCGGUAGGAUAGUACGUUUUACGAGGGUAUGUUUGGCAGCAUGAGUGAAGGAGGCUUUGUUGUGAAAUAAGAAGCCGAUUCUAGAUUUAAUUUUGGAUUGGAGAUGCUUAAUGUGAGUCUGGAAGGAAAGUUUACAGUUGUCGUGUCUUUGGCAUCAUUGAAUUAAGACUUAUUUUUAUCAAAUAAAUUCUCUGUAAUUAUUAUUACGUGAUUAAAAUAUUUGAAACUUCUG
rnacentral:lncRNA from 1 species